rnacentral:lncRNA from 1 species
UCUCUUCCAUGUGAGAAUAGAACAGGAAGGUGUCUUCUGCAAGCCAGGAAGAGGGCUCUGACCAGAACCUGAUGAUGCUGAAACCCUGAUCUCAGACUUCCAGCCUCCAGAACUUUGAGAAACAGAUGUCUGUUGGUAAAGCCACUUAAACUAUGGAAACCCCACAAAGUGAAGCCAGGAGGACAGAAGAGGAGGCUACAGCAAGGAGUUGUACCACUCCACAUCUAUUACAGGAAGAAUUGUCAAUUAUAGAUCCCAAAAGAAGAACGGUCAGCAGGACAGUAUCAUCAAUCACCAGUCCCAACAAGGAAAGAUGGAGGUUACACCUCCUACAAGAUAUCGACUGGCCCUACGAUAAGCCACUGAGAAACCAUCAUCACCUUGAACUUGUGGUUUCCUCCAAUGGACUUUCAUUCAAAACAACCUGUCCAUCUUCCUCCUGCUUUUCCAUAAAAUACCAUUCUUCUCCCUUGUUACUGGACUUGCAAUAACGUGCAAAACUUAUGUUUUUGCUGUAGCUCGCACGUCUCCAAUUGCAAUUUUCUGUUAUUCCCAAAUAAAUCCAUUUUUGCUGGUAAAAUGACUGUUUUAUUUUUAAGGUUAACUCCACAGAGUGAAACUUCUCCAAAACACCUUUUUUAACAGUCAAUAAGGUAAAAGUGCCAGUGAAAUACAAAACUCCAACAGUAAUGCAUCAUUCUUUUGGGAAAAGACUUCUGUCCUUUUAAGAAAUACAUGCACAACAGCUAAUGAAGAA